rnacentral:lncRNA from 1 species
GAAACUCAACAAACACUGAAGUGUGAUCUGAUCAAAGUCUGUCUUCUGUGGACCUGCUGACAACAACAUGCUGCACUGGUCUGUUGUGUUGCUGCUUUGUGCGCUCACUGCUGUUUCUCUUGCAGCUCCUGUCAACAAGGAAUCGACGGAUGACGAGAGAACUGCACAACUGCUGACACACCUGAACGGACAUGGUACAGAUACACCCGUGACAGCACAACCAGAUGCUUCUGACAGCAAAGAACAAACUGAAGCUCCCUCAGAAUCAGAUGAGACCACUGAAUCACCAGCUGACUCAGAUGACAGACAUGACAGUAGUUCUGUGAUGGACAACUCUGAAGAUGACAGCAAAGCUUCCCCUGAGCAGAGCGAAGCAGAAUCAGCAGAGACAACUGAAGCUCAAGGUGACCAGAGUCAGGAGUCUGAGGUGGACGCCUCUGAGGAUGAUAAUGACGGACCUUCUGAUGCAGAAUCAGCAGAGACAACUGAAGCUCAAGGUGACCAGAGUGAGGAGUCUGAGGUGGACGCCUCUGAGGAUGAUACUGAGGAUGCUACAAACACGAAGAAAGAUGACGACACUGAUGAAGACUCUGACUCUGACUCUGACUCUGAUGCUGAGAGAACUCCAGGAGACCAGGACAGCAACGACAAGACCGAUGAUGACAGUGUGGAGGAGGGAGACGCAGCGAGCGAGGAAGCAGCAGAAGAGGAGGAGCUUCAGAAGGAGGAGAUGGAUGAGAUGAGUGAAACAGAUAUGUCAGAGGAGCUCAUGGAGGAGAAUGAUGACAGUAUGAGUGAGAUGAAAGAGGAUGGUGAUACAACAAGUGAUGGAGCGAAUGAGAUGAGCCAGUCCGACAGUGACACCUCUGACGAUGAAGCUGAGCCUGAUGGCAUGCCUGCCUCUGACGGCAAGGAGGAAGAGGAUGUGAUCCAAGACGACUCCGUAAUACCUGACACCGAAGGAGCUGAAGAGCAGAGUCCAGACGCCCAUGACUCCACUGAAGUUCCUGCUGCAGCAACGCCUGCUGACCAAUCAGAUGAUGCCGUCCCAGCCACCACAGCGGCCACAAAUUAGAAGCUAAGCCCGUGAUCUGUGGAAGCGAACUGACUCCAGAGCCACGCCCACGGCCUCCACAGAGGAAUACUGUUGCCAUGACAACAACAAGCUAAAUUGCAACUAAACCUCAUCCUCUGGCUUUCUGUUUGUUUCUCUCCUUUGCCUGGUUCUGAUUGGUUGUUUCUUUUUUUUUUUUUCAAACAUUUCCCUCCCUUCCACCAAGCGACCCUCUCUGUGAUGUGUUCACUGCACAAACAUUAAACCAGCUGCUGAUCGUAGUUUCGCUUUGUGUGUCUGAUUUAACGUGUACAUACAGUCCAUCGUUUACUUCACAAACGUUACCACUGCUCUUCCAGCAGGUGAGCACAGAAUGAUUGUACACAGAGGAACUGCUAAUAA